CCAAAUACAUGUCUUAUGUCCGUUCCAGACGAUGGGCUUUCUCGUGUAUCGAGCUGUUAAAAAGCAGUAGAUAAUCAAUACAGUGAACGGAGGAUAUUCAACAAAAUGCCGCGUUGGUUAAAACCAUGUCCAUGGCGAUGUCCAUGUUUUGUAAAAGACAACACGAUUCAACCUGCACCUGUAGAGGAGGUUAAUAUAUCGCCACAAAGAGAUGAAAACCAAGAUACAGGAAGAACAAAGUUUGGGAUACAAGAAGAAGGUGAAAGUGAAAGAAGACCUCCUGAGGAACACGCGACGCCUGUCCAAGAAGUGGGUUCGUCGCUCGAAACAACAUAACAGAACUGUAUAAUUAUUAAUACUAACAUAAAAACUACAAAAUUUUAUUGCAUAUUAUAUAGUGCAAUUUAAAGCCUAAUUCUUCACCAUCCCAAACGUCACGAUUGAUGCUGACUUAUUACAAAUUUCCACAUAAUUUUGAGAAUAAUUAUUUACCUCCCCUAUUUAUUA